UGAGGAAUAUUGGUCAAUGGACGAAAGUCUGAACCAGCCAUGCCGCGUGCAGGAUGACGGCCCUACGGGUUGUAAACUGCUUUUAUAUAGGAAGAAACCUCUUUACGUGUAAAGAGCUGACGGUACUAUAAGAAUAAGGACCGGCUAACUCCGUGCCAGCAGCCGCGGUAAUACGGAGGGUCCAAGCGUUAUCCGGAUUUAUUGGGUUUAAAGGGUACGUAGGCGGAAUUUUAAGUCAGUAGUGAAAGCCCAUCGCUUAACGAUGGAACUGCUAUUGAUACUGUUAUUCUUGAAUAUAGUUGAAGUAGGCGGAAUACGGCAUGUAGCGGUGAAAUGCAUAGAUAUGCCGUGGAACACCAAUCGCGAAGGCAGCUUACUAAGCUAUUAUUGACGCUAAGGUACGAAAGCGUGGGGAGCGAACAGGAUUAGAUACCCCCGUAGUCC
rnacentral:rRNA from 1 species